AUGCAAGUCGAACGGCAGCACAGAAGAGCUUGCUCUUUGGGUGGCGAGUGGCGGACGGGUGAGUAAUGUCUGGGAAACUGCCCGAUGGAGGGGGAUAACUACUGGAAACGGUAGCUAAUACCGCAUAACGUCGCAAGACCAAAGAGGGGGACCUUCGGGCCUCUUGCCAUCAGAUGUGCCCAGAUGGGAUUAGCUAGUAGGUGGGGUAACGGCUCACCUAGGCGACGAUCCCUAUCUGGUCUGAGAGGAUGACCAGCCACACUGGAACUGAGACACGGUCCAGACUCCUACGGGAGGCAGCAGUGGGGAAUAUUGCACAAUGGGCGCAAGCCUGAUGCAGCCAUGCCGCGUGUAUGA
rnacentral:rRNA from 1 species